rnacentral:rRNA from 1 species
GAUGAACGCUGGCGGCGUGCUUAACACAUGCAAGUCGAACGAUGAAGCCCAGCUUGCUGGGUGGAUUAGUGGCGAACGGGUGAGUAACACGUGAGUAACCUGCCCUUGACUCUGGGAUAAGCCUGGGAAACUGGGUCUAAUACUGGAUAUGACUUCUCAUCGCAUGGUGGGGGGUGGAAAGAUUUAUUGGUCUUGGAUGGACUCGCGGCCUAUCAGCUUGUUGGUGAGGUAAUGGCUCACCAAGGCGACGACGGGUAGCCGGCCUGAGAGGGUGACCGGCCACACUGGGACUGAGACAUGGCCCAGACUCCUACGGGAGGCAGCAGUGGGGAAUAUUGCACAAUGGGCGCAAGCCUGAUGCAGCGACGCCGCGUGAGGGAUGACGGCCUUCGGGUUGUAAACCUCUUUCAGUAGGGAAGAAGCGAGAGUGACGGUACCUGCAGAAGAAGCGCCGGCUAACUACGUG